rnacentral:rRNA from 1 species
GAUGAACGCUGGCGGCGUGCCUAAUACAUGCAAGUCGAACGGGGAGCAGCAAUGCUCUUAGUGGCGAACGGGUGAGUAACGCGUUGGUGACCUGCCCUGGAGUGUGGGAUAACAGUCCGAAAGGGCUGCUAAUACCGCAUAAUCUGGUGGAUGACUAGAAAGCUACCAGGAAAGCCGAAAGGCGCUAAAGGAGGGGCCUGCGUCCCAUCAGCUAGUUGGUAAGGUAACGGCUUACCAAGGCGAUGACGGGUAGGGGACCUGAGAGGGUGACCCCCCACAAUGGAACUGAAACACGGUCCAUACACCUACGGGAGGCUG